UAAGGAAUAUUGGUCAAUGGGCGCAAGCCUGAACCAGCAACGCCGCGUGGAGGAAGAAGGGUUUCGGCUCGUAAACUCCUUUUAGGUGGGAAGAGCAAGGACGGUACCACCUGAAUAAGUCUCGGCUAACUACGUGCCAGCAGCCGCGGUAAAACGUAGGAGACGAGCGUUAUCCGGAUUUACUGGGCGUAAAGCGCGUGCAGGCGGUUAGAUAAGUCACUUGUGAAAGCGCCCGGCUCAACUGGGCGAGGCCGUGUGAGACUGUCUAACUUGAGAGAGGUAGAGGCAAACGGAAUUCCGGGUGGAGUGGUGAAAUGCGUAGAGAUCCGGAGGAACACCAGUGGCGAAGGCGGUUUGCUGGGCCUACUCUGACGCUCAGACGCGACAGCAUGGGGAGCGAAC
rnacentral:rRNA from 1 species